UGGAGGGAAUCAAAUCCUCCUCAGUUCCACGGUGGACAAAAUUUUGCACAGAGAGAGAGAGAGAGAGAGAGAGAGUUUCCUUUUGUUGGAUCAUGGCAACCUCCAGCUUGGUUUGGGCCGCUUCAAGCUUCAUGCUCACCUCCAGUCUUCCUACGACCGCUGCCACCAACACACCCUCACGUGCCGCCGGCCUCGUCACCUUCUCCAGGUCCAGUAGAAAACUGGUGGUUCGAGCCGAAGAGGCGUCGGCACCGCCGGCGGCAGAAGCGACAAAGACGGAAGCUGCCAAGCCGCCGCCGCCGCCGCCAGUGAGAUGCUAAGGCCAAACAAAAGGAUCAAUGUUUAAAAUGAACAAGGAAGCCACUUCAUGCAUAAAUCAUUGUUUUCCAUCUGAAUUAUAUCAUUACCUCACGUUAGAGUUCCCAAUUGGAGAGCGAAAGACUUCUCACACGGUGUCGUCAUCGAUGCGAAUUUUCCGAACCGUAAAGAAUUGUCCACUAUCGAGCGCAAGGUUUUAUCCUUUGGGUCUCGGAAUGGACUCGGGCAUCAUCUGCAUUCGGUAGAUAUUUCUGUCGGCAAUCAGUCUUCUUAUGUCACGAGGAGACAUUUCUGCAAGUGGAAGCCAAUGACAAAAUGAAGAGGUGAAGGUAAAACAUCAUGAUGAAUAGAUGAGUGAUACAGCCUUGAUUGAAAAGGAGGUGAAUUUAUUGUUAGAUUAGCGUAAUUAAAUUUCUCGAUAAGAAUGUGCAAUGAAGUUGCAUCGCUUUCACCCCA